AGUCGAGCGGAUGAGUGGAGCUUGCUCCAUGAUUCAGCGGCGGACGGGUGAGUAAUGCCUAGGAAUCUGCCUGGUAGUGGGGGACAACGUUUCGAAAGGAACGCUAAUACCGCAUACGUCCUACGGGAGAAAGUGGGGGAUCUUCGGACCUCACGCUAUCAGAUGAGCCUAGGUCGGAUUAGCUAGUUGGUGAGGUAAAGGCUCACCAAGGCGACGAUCCGUAACUGGUCUGAGAGGAUGAUCAGUCACACUGGAACUGAGACACGGUCCAGACUCCUACGGGAGGCAGCAGUGGGGAAUAUUGGACAAUGGGCGAAAGCCUGAUCCAGCCAUGCCGCGUGUGUGAAGAAGGUCUUCGGAUUGUAAAGCACUUUAAGUUGGGAGGAAGGGCAGUAAGUUAAUACCUUGCUGUUUUGACGUUACCAACAGAAUAAGCACCGGCUAACUUCGUGCCAGCAGCCGCGGUAAUACGAAGGGUGCAAGCGUUAAUCGGAAUUACUGGGCGUAAAGCGCGCGUAGGUGGUUCGUUAAGGUUGGAUGUGGAAAGCCCCGGGGCUCAACCCUGGGGAACUGGCAUCCAAAAACUUGGCGAAGCUAGAGUAUGGGCAGAGGCGUGGGUGGAAAUUUUCCUGGUGUAGCGGGUGAAAAUGCGGUAGAUAUAGGGAAGGGAACACCAGUGGGCGAAGGCGAACCACCCUGGGGCUAAUACCUGACACUGAAGGUGCGGAAAGCGUGGGGGAGCAAACAGGGAUUAGAUACCCCUGGUAGUCCACGCCAGUAAACGAUGUCGACUAGCCCGUUGGGAUCCUUAGAGAUCUUAGUGGCGCAGCUAACGCAUUAAGUCGACCGCCUGGGGAGUACGGCCGCAAGGUUAAACUCAG
rnacentral:rRNA from 1 species